UUUACUAUAUAAAGUAAUAAAAUGUGUUAUUUAUUAAAUGAAAAGGACGAAAAAUAUGACUCUAACUUUUAAGUUUGCUUAUGUUGUGAUUCUCUUUAUUUUUCUACUACUUUUUCUUGAAACUAUAGUCAAUGCAUCAUGCACGAAGAAUGAAGAUUGUACAUCACUAGAAUGUAUAUAUCCUAAAAAUCAGACGUGUGUUUUUUAUACGUGUAUCUGUUGGUAAUUGAUAUUGUUAAGUUGAAAAUAAAUCUAUCUUACUUUCAAACUUGCAAUUCUUUUCUUCUAUGAAAUUGUUGUGCAUUUGGUACUC